UACGGAGGGUGCAAGCGUUAUCCGGAUUCACUGGGUUUAAAGGGUGCGUAGGUGGGCAGGUAAGUCAGUGGUGAAAUCUCCGAGCUUAACUCGGAAACUGCCGUUGAUACUAUUUGUCUUGAAUAUUGUGGAGGUAAGCGGAAUAUGUCAUGUAGCGGUGAAAUGCUUAGAUAUGACAUAGAACACCAAUUGCGAAGGCAGCUUACUACACAACGAUUGACGCGGAGGCACGAAAGCGUGGGAUCAAACAGG
rnacentral:rRNA from 1 species